UACGAAGGGGGCUAGCGUUGCUCGGAAUUACUGGGCGUAAAGGGCGCGUAGGCGGCACUGUUAGUCAGGCGUGAAAGUCCUGGGCUCAACCUGGGAACUGCGCUUGAUACGGCAGAGCUAGAGGAUGGAAGAGGGUCGCGGAAUUCCCAGUGUAGAGGUGAAAUUCGUAGAUAUGGGGAGGAACACCGGUGGCGAAGGCGGCCAUCUGGACGGUUACUGACGCUGAGACGCGAAAGCGUGGGGAGCAAACAGG
rnacentral:rRNA from 1 species